UACGGAGGGGGCUAGCGUUGUUCGGAAUUACUGGGCGUAAAGCGCACGUAGGCGGCUUUGUAAGUUAGAGGUGAAAGCCCGGGGCUCAACUCCGGAAUUGCCUUUAAGACUGCAUCGCUAGAAUUGUGGAGAGGUGAGUGGAAUUCCGAGUGUAGAGGUGAAAUUCGUAGAUAUUCGGAAGAACACCAGUGGCGAAGGCGACUCACUGGACACAUAUUGACGCUGAGGUGCGAAAGCGUGGGGAGCCGAACAGG
rnacentral:rRNA from 1 species